CUGUGCAGCCGUUAAAACGAAAAAUGUUCAAUAUGCACUAACAUGGAACGACUUCCAAAGAUACCUUAGAUAAAAAAAAAAAAAAAAGGAAGGAGCAAAAGACCCGCGUUGAUGGGCGCUACAGUUUGUGGAAAAGAACGUGUGUGAGAGUGUGCGCGUCUGCGGGUGUGCGCACCUCUGUCUGGUAACGUGCACAAGAAGUGGUUAACUGUGGUGGCCUCGGACAGGAGAACUGGAGUCCUGGGUACCCGGGCAAGGGGGGAGAAUUUAUUUCUUAAAUAAGAUGAUGAAGAUAUAAGGGCUCGGAUCCGUCAAGACUUGAGCCAAUGCCUGGGUUCAGCCCUCCUGCUGGAAGGUCUGAUUUCCCCCUGUCGUUAGAGGAGGGAAUAAGGCUCAGAGAUUAGGGAUUUUAGUGAUAUCUCAUGGCCAGGAAGGGGAGAAGCUGGAAUUUGAGCCCUGGACGGUUUUACACUAAUGGCCAGGGUCUCCUUAUCCCACUUCCCACUGAGAAGCUUUUUUUUUUAUCAACCACAUGACACCCAGCGUGGGGUCUGGCACACAGGCUAAUCCAAGUUAACUGUUGAUUGGCUGUUUACUGACUGAACAGGUCGAACAGACCAGAGACAACGUGAUGUGUAGAAUGAAGAGAGGAACACUAGAGGCAAGAGCCCAGACUAGAGUCCAAGGCUUGCCCCUUUCCAGCCUGGAGACUGUGAACCUGGCACAUCCCUCCCUGAGCCUCCAUGUCCCCACCUAUGGAACUAACAAGCACGACCACAAGGGCCACGGGUGCCCCCCUCCGUCCUACUUUGGGCUUUACAUGCAGAUGAGCCCCAUUUUACGGAUCAGUAAGUGAAGCACAGAGAAAUUAAGGUAGUUGCCCAAAGGAGGUCCCUGCAGGGCCUGACUCCCCCACUACCUGAGAGAGAUUGCUGGGCUCCUGGGUCUCCCUCCGCCUCCAGGGAUCAUCCGCACUAAUGCUUUGGGAGACCUCCAGUCCUAGUUGAGCUGCCAGAGGCUGAGGAUCUGGUAGAGAACAGGACAGACACACAGUUCCUGUCCUUGAAGUCUAGUGAGGGUGACAGACAAUCCAGCGGUUAGCAUCUCUGAUGAGCUCUGUGGUGGGCAGAAGCUCAGGCCUUGGGAGCACAAUGGCAGGAGCAUCUGGCUCAGCCCGGGUGGCAUCAGAGAGGGCUUCUCAAAGUAGGUAACUUUUAAUCUGUGUCUGAAAAACGUGUAGGAUACCUGGAAGGAGGAAUGAUGGCGCUGGAGACCCAUGCAGAGGUGUGCUCAUACCUGAAGACGUGGGGCCACAUCCCACUCCCAGAUUGCGCUGCCAGCUCCUUGGAAAAAUGAGCAAAUGCUCAUGCUACUUCCUCAUUCCUGGACGAUGGUGUAAGCUUUGGAUUUGCUGCUGAGGCCCUUCUGUGCUUUUCUGGGACUUUGACUUCGGUCCACAGAUCGCUAUGGAAAUAGCAGAUGUGCUUUGUGAUCCGGUGACUAAUCACAUCACUUCUUUCAAAGCCUGUCAGGGAUUGGUCACCGUGCAUGCCAUUCAGUUCACACAAAGACACCAAAGCUCGGAGUUAUGUUGCCUCCUGCCUCCCAGUGAUAAACCCAUGCGACAGGCUACAAAAAUGGAUCAUCGGAAGAGGGAAUUGGCCAACAACGACGAAAGUGCUGCAAAGAAAUGCACAGAGCGAUAAGACAGAGUGGGAAAUUUGCAUGGGACGUAAGUGGAGUGUUGAAAGAAAGCACUGGCUGUGGGAAUGUGGACAGAGCAGUCCUUUGCUGUUCCAGAAACUCCAGCUACGCAACCAGAGAAACUUAGUGAAGGCAGAGUGACGAACAUACAUGACGCAUGUAGUUCUAACCAAAUGGAUGAAGGUGUCCCAGAGGAAGGGAUGCCAAGCAAAGAGGUCACAUCAAAGGAACGCCCAGAUAUAUUUCACAACAGUGAAAGCACAAGGGAUGAAGGGUUUGAAGUUGACAUAAACUCAGAAAGAAGGAUGUUAACUCAUCAAUGCUGAGAAAAGAUGCUCGUUCCAUAUCCUAAGUUAUGCGACUAGAAGGAAGCAAGCAAUCACUGUUCACGCUACUCUGGAUAAUUUCCCCCCAGAUUUAUUGAGUUAUAAUCGUCAUACAUUUACAGUUUACAACGUGUUGAGGGGGCACCUGGGUGGCUCAGUCGGUGAAGCAUCCAA